rnacentral:tRNA from 1 species
AAUAAGAUGGCUGAGGAAUAGGCGGUAAAUUGUAAAUUUAUUAACAAGUUUAAACUUUCUUAUUA